UACGUAGGGUGCAAGCGUUAAUCGGAAUUACUGGGCGUAAAGCGUGCGCAGGCGGUUCUAUAAGACAGAUGUGAAAAUCCCCGGGCUCAACCUGGGAACUGCAUUUGUGACUGUAGAGCUGGAGUGCGGCAGAGGGGGAUGGAAUUCCGCGUGUAGCAGUGAAAUGCGUAGAUAUCGGAAGGAACGCCGGUGGCGAAAGCGGCGUGCUGGACCCCUUCUGACGCUGAGGCGCGAAAGCCAGGGGAGCAAACGGG
rnacentral:rRNA from 1 species